rnacentral:rRNA from 1 species
UGGAGAGUUUGAUCCUGGCUCAGAUUGAACGCUGGCGGCAGGCUUAACACAUGCAAGUCGAACGGUAGCAGGAGAAAGCUUGCUUUCUUGCUGACGAGUGGCGGACGGGUGAGUAAUGCUUGGGAAUCUGGCUUAUGGAGGGGGAUAACUACGGGAAACUGUAGCUAAUACCGCGUAAUAUCGAAAGAUUAAAGUGUGGGACCUUCGGGCCACAUGCCAUAAGAUGAGCCCAAGUGGGAUUAGGUAGUUGGUGAGGUAAAGGCUCACCAAGCCUGCGAUCUCUAGCUGGUCUGAGAGGAUGGCCAGCCACACUGGAACUGAGAGACGGUCCAGACUCCUACGGGAGGCAGCAGUGGGGAAUAUUGCGCAAUGGGGGGAACCCUGACGCAGCCAUGCCGCGUGAAUGAAGAAGGCCUUCGGGUUGUAAAGUUCUUUCGGUAUUGAGGAAGGGAUGUGUGCUAAUAGUACACGUCAUUGACGUUAAAUACAGAAGAAGCACCGGCUAACUCCGUGCCAGCAGCCGCGGUA